rnacentral:lncRNA from 1 species
CUCUUAUUCACUUAAGAAUGACCCAUAGAAAAGGGCAUUUGGCUGGUGUGUGGGCAACAGGUCCUCCUCGUUCCAUAUAAUUCAAACCAGAGAGCUGAACAAGGAUCCUUUGUAUCUCAGAUGAGAUCUCUCAUCUCUUGGCUGUUGAAAGGAGAUCUCCUGAUUCAUCCUGUCAGAACCAUUUCACCAUGUGACUCCCUCGACAUGCCUAUCUGAUGGUCAUGCAGUGUUCACAUGGGAUGUUACUAUAAUAUCUAAACUGUGGUUUAAAUCGGCUACCAAACCUGGGAAGAAAUAUCUAUGAUUUACCAUGCAAACUCUCUCUGAUGUUUUAUACUGGAGUAUGUAGGUGUUGUUUUCACUUACACCAAAAGAUACAUUCUUGUCAAAACAGAUAGCUUCCCAUGAAAAUGUUUAUAUGGUUGGUUUGGGGAUUUUUUGCUUGCUUUUUGUUUAUUUAUUUUUUAACCGAAGCAAAAAUAAAUAAAUGCAUACCUGACCAUUAAAUGUGCAAUCUCUUUUAAUAAUAGGUGCUAAUCUCAUCAGUGCAUGCUAUUAAGGAAACCUAAUCACAAGUACCAGACCAUCAUGUAUAUGAUUCAUUAUACAUCUUUGCAUUGGAAAGGCACAAGCAAUAUGUUAGAAAUUUCACAAGAGCAUCCUAAGCUACAUGGAAGAGUCCAAACAUUGCCAGGAGAUCUGACUGAGUCUUUGAAGCAGUCUAGCUUCUACAUGUAUGCAUCCCUAAGAUGGGUUAGUUUUACUAGGACGGAGAACAUACACAGUUAGAAGACAAUCCAGAAGAACAGUGAAGAUUUUUCUGUGUGCACUCUUCAUUCUGUCACUGCCCAAUUUUUCUCACCACAGUGCUAGACUCAUCCUUUAUUGCACCGGUGUAUUGUAUUCUGAAGAAGAUAUUGUAUUGUUCUGUCAAUACAGCAUGUUCCUUCAAGCUCAGUGUAUCUUUUUGGUAAAUAAUAUAUAUAAAGCCUCGGCCCUUUUUCAUUUGUGCUAUUAUUGAUUUUUUAUUGAGUCCUCAGAAUUUCCAAUAGUUCUUCAUCACAAGCUCAACUUACAAG